UAUUAUGGUAAAAUGAUUGCAACAAUGUGCGUUUCCAUGACAACAAUGAUUGUUUUGAAAAAAAACAUCAAAAUAAUAAAAACUUAAUAACAACAAAAUUCCUAAAUAAAAACGGUUGCCAAUGACAACCUUAUUUUUAAUCUUUCAAUUUUUGUUUGACCUAAAGAACCAGAUUUUCCUCAUUAUCUCGAAUAUUUCUGAGAAUUUCUAAAAAAUGACCUCUUCAAAGUACCACCCAGAGAACAUUUCCAUUCAGAAAAGGUGCUAUAUUUGAUAAUCGGCGUACGGUUUCUGGUAGAAAAGUGUUUACAUAAAAAAAAGAAAUUCACAUUAAACGUCUUUGUAAAACCGAUACGUUCUUCGUUACGCUCGGGAUCUAAAAUACGGUAAUAUUAAAUUCGCCGGAUGAUCGCCGCGGAGAGACCGGGUUCGUCCUGUAUACAGCGCGAUAUUAUUAUUAUUGUACGGUUCCGGACGUCGUCGUCGUCGUUGGAUAUCACGCCGAGAAAUUUACAACCGCCCCGAUUACAUACAAUUAGGUAUUAUGAUUAUUAUCGUAUUUUAUUAUUCGCGUAUUAUUUUUAU